AGCCCUUGACAUGUCCGGCUCACCACAGAGAUGUGGUUUUCCCUUCGGGGACCGGAACACAGGUGCUGCAUGGCUGUCGUCAGCUCGUGUCGUGAGAUGUUGGGUUAAGUCCCGCAACGAGCGCAACCCUCGCCCUUAGUUGCCAGCAUUCAGUUGGGCACUCUAAGGGGACUGCCGGUGAUAAGCCGAGAGGAAGGUGGGGAUGACGUCAAGUCCUCAUGGCCCUUACGGGCUGGGCUACACACGUGCUACAAUGGUGGUGACAGUGGGCAGCGAAGGAGCGACCCCGAGCUAAUCUCCAAAAGCCAUCUCAGUUCGGAUUGCACUCUGCAACUCGAGUGCAUGAAGUUGGAAUCGCUAGUAAUCGCGGAUCAGCACGCCGCGGUGAAUACGUUCCC
rnacentral:rRNA from 1 species